rnacentral:lncRNA from 1 species
ACGGGAGGACGAGGACGUCGACGGUGAUUACAACCAGGAGGAUGAACCCACCCAUUGCCACACUGAUGCUCUUUGGACUACGAUAUGGACAUGAAGGCAUUUGUUUUAGUGCCAAAUACUACUUACUAAUGCCCGCAAAGUAUCGUUGUUGCUAUGGAGCUAUGUAUGUAUGGAUGCUAUGGAACUAUAUGUAUAUAUGGAUGCUAUGGAAUUUUGGAUGUAUGGAUGCUAUGGA